rnacentral:rRNA from 1 species
CGCGUAGGCGGCCGAUCAAGUCGGAGGUGAAAUCCCUCGGCUCAACUGAGGAAUUGCCUUCGAUACUGUUCGGCUUGAGUCCUGGAGAGGGUAGCGGAAUUCCCGGUGUAGCGGUGAAAUGCGUAGAGACCGGGAAGAACACCAGUGGCGAAGGCGGCUACCUGGACAGGUACUGACGCUGAAGCGCGAAGCUAGGGGAGCAAACA